CAGCCCCGCGGUAAUACGAAGGGUGCAAGCGUUAAUCGGAAUUACUGGGCGUAAAGCGUGCGUAGGCGGUUUGUUAAGUCUGUUGUGAAAUCCCCGGGCUCAACCUGGGAAUGGCAAUGGAUACUGGCAAGCUAGAGUGUGUCAGAGGAUGGUGGAAUUCCCGGUGUAGCGGUGAAAUGCGUAGAGAUCGGGAGGAACAUCAGUGGCGAAGGCGGCCAUCUGGGACAACACUGACGCUGAGGCACGAAAGCGUGGGGAGCAAACAGGAUUAGAUACCCCGGUAGUCCCUGUCUCUUAUACA
rnacentral:rRNA from 1 species